CAGCAGCCGCGGUAAUACGUAGGUGGCAAGCGUUGUCCGGAAUUAUUGGGCGUAAAGGGCUCGCAGGCGGUUUCUUAAGUCUGAUGCGAAAGCCCCCGGCUCAACCGGGGAGGGUCAUUGGAAACUGGGAAACUUGAGUGCAGAAGAGGAGAGUGGAAUUCCACGUGUAGCGGUGAAAUGCGUAGAGAUGUGGAGGAACACCAGUGGCGAAGGCGACUCUCUGGUCUGUAACUGACGCUGAGGAGCGAAAGCGUGGGGAGCGAACAGGAUUAGAUACCCCAGUAGUCCCUGUCUCUUAUAC
rnacentral:rRNA from 1 species